UACGGAGGAUCCAAGCGUUAUCCGGAUUUAUUGGGUUUAAAGGGUGCGUAGGCGGCCUAUUAAGUCAGGGGUGAAAGACGGUAGCUUAACUAUCGCAGUGCCCUUGAUACUGAUGGGCUUGAAUGUACUAGAGGUAGGCGGAAUGUGACAAGUAGCGGUGAAAUGCAUAGAUAUGUCACAGAACACCAAUUGCGAAGGCAGCUUACUACGCAGAUAUUGACGCUCAUGCACGAAAGCGUGGGGAUCAAACAGG
rnacentral:rRNA from 1 species